GACGAACGCUGGCGGCGUGCCUAACACAUGCAAGUCGAGCGGAGUCGAUUGACGGAAGCCUUCGGGCGGAAGAUGGUUGACUUAGCGGCGGAUGGGUGAGUAACGCGUGGGCAACCUGCCUCGAAGACCGGGAUAACAGCCCGAAAGGGCUGCUAAUACCGGAUGUGGUCAAGGAUCCGCAUGGAUUUUUGAUUAAAGGGGAAACCCGUUUCGAGAUGGGCCCGCGUCCUAUCAGCUAGUUGGUGAGGUAAAAGCUCACCAAGGCGACGACGGGUAGCCGGCCUGAGAGGGUGACCGGCCACACUGGAACUGAGACACGGUCUAGACUCCUACGGGGGCAGCAGUGGGGAAUCUUCCACAAUGGGCGAAAGCCUGAUGGAGCGACGCCGCGUGAGCGAAGAAGGCCUUCGGGUGUAAGCUCUGUCUGGAGGGACGAAGGAAGUGACGGUACCUCCGGAGGAAGCCACGGCUAACUACGUG
rnacentral:rRNA from 1 species